AGAAAUUAUCGCCCUUUCGCCCCUGGCCCUCUCUCCUGCUGUGCCCACCGUUGAGCUUCUCCUUCAUCGUCGUCGCACCCUCUGUCUGUCUUCACUCCCACCGAUCGAGCUUCCUCCUUCCCUUCCAAAUAACCUCAUCUUCGACUUCAUCUCCCUCACGACCUCACCGUGCGUUCUUCGUCUUCCCUUCCCUGGAGAGAGGCAUCUUCUAUCUUCACUGUUUAGAGACCUGGGAGGAAGAGGGACAACAAGAAACAUAUAAUAUAACUUUUUUACCAUGCUGAUCGAGCAAAGAAAACACUGUCAUGCCGAUUUUGUCUUGGUGGUAUUUGUGCAGUAGGAGUUGUAAGACUUCAAGUUUUUAUUGUCACCGAAGAUCUCAACAAUGUUCUUUAGACCUCUGUCUUUGUUUCUAUGCCUCUUACACAUAUCCGAGGAUAUAUUCAAAAUAUCAGGUGAUUAGAUUAGCUAGCAUUUUUUUUGAAGAACUUGGAUCAUUUGUGUCAUGGUCAUUGGAUGGCAUUCUUGCAGACCUUGCCAAUCAUCAAGGAGCUGCUAAGGUAGCCAAAAAUGUCGACCAACAAGCAUCAUCAGCUAAGGUUGCCAUGUUUGUGGUCUUAGCAAUGGUUCUUAGAAAAAAAAACUUGAUGUCAUGGGUAGUUCAUUGCCCACAAUUAAGGAGACUAUAAAUUUUCAAGGGUAGGAUGAGCUCCCUCUUGCUAGUUGGGUCACUGCUCAGAUAUAGCUGUGACUGAUGCUUCUACUAUCACCUCAAUGAAUUCUAACAUGUCUUGGAAGAAACCUAGGAGGCUAGAAGCUAUUGAGGAAGACAUAGAGAAGGUUUUGUCACGUUUAAUAAAUGAGGUGGAGCUGGUGUCAAUAGAUGAACGGACAGAGGCAUGUGAAUCAAACCAUAGUUUGUGUUGUGGCAGAGAGGUUAUAAAUAUUAGGUCGUAUUUUUUUUUUGUCUUGUCAUUACUUAAUAUUCUAAACUAUAUUUAUGAUUUUUUUGUUACUAUAAGCUCCAUUUUUUCCUUUAUUCCAAUAACAAUAUAAUUCAUUGCAAUCUUUACUCUUACUUCCUUUUUUCUAUCAUUAACUUGGGGAGGAUUAUAGAAGACCAUUGUGAGUAUACUUUUUUUUUUUUUCCAUAUUUGUAUUUUUUUCUUUGUUUGUGUGGCAAUGAUUUUUUUUUUUAAAAACCUCUAUACGGCUUUCCAUAUUUGUUGCAUUAGCCCAAGGUUAGUAAUUUUUUUUGUUCUGUUUAUUCGUUGUUUUUCAUAUUGUCAUUGUUCUCUGUUGUCCAUUCUUCUCAAUCUUUAUGUGUAUUUCUGUUCCUUAAUAUGUUGUAAUUAUUUUUUUUUGUGGCUUCCUUUCUUCGAGUUUGUGUGAUGAGAUAAUUUAUAUGAUGCUUAUAAUGCUUUUCAUGCCUUUUAUUUUCUAUCUAGUCGUUUCUUCCUUUUGAAUUUUUUUAUUUUUACUACCUUCAUGAUUUUAUAAAUGUAAUUCAUUUAUUGGUAUAUGCAAUUAAAAUUGACAUAGGUUCCAAGACUUAUCUGAAAAGACAAUACACCAAGAUAAGGAACAUACAAGGCUGAGUGCAAUAAAGUUUUCAGGUUUUAUCUCCUAAUAAGGAAAUUUCUCCACUUGUGGGGUCUCUUAUAGAGUUCAAUUUCCUUGUCAAGGCACAUAUAACAAAGCUGACAAGCUGCUUUUAUCAUUUUUAAACGACUGGGGACUGGCUUUAGCGACAACAGACACGCUUAAUCCUGUUUGGGGACAGAUUUUAGGUGAUCCCUUCAUAAGGCGACUUCUUUUAAGGUAUGAAAGGCCUUCCUUGUGUUUCCUCUUAUUUUUAUUUGUCGUUGGGAAUAAAGACUCUGUUGAACUACAUUAUUUUUGACAAAAUAUUGUUUAUUGUUUGGAAUAAAUGCUUUGUUGAGCUGCAUUUUUUUAACUAUAAGCUUAAUUUUCUUAUUAUGCGUGUCACUGUUCAUUGUACUUCAUGAUUAAUGUUAGUUGAUUGAUGAUUGAUUUGUGGUUUGGAGACUGAACGAGCUUGCUGUUAUGCUAAUUUCUCUUCAUUCUCAUGCCAAGCUAUGUCUUUAGUCAAUUGCAAACCUCUUCUGACUGAAAAUCCUACUUCUGGAUUUGUUUACUUCUAACUUCUGGACAUUGUCAUUGAUCACUUUUGAGGGAUAAAAACCUCAUUGUUGAUCACUUUUGAGGGUUUGCAAGGAAUUUGGUUACUAGAUUAAUUUAUAAAAUUAGGAUGGGAAUAUAAUCUAAAUAAAUAAACUGUUAAAGCUAUUAGCCAUGCAUUUCCAUUGAUAGCCAUUGCUAGAAAAUCUUUUUGACUCGUGGGAAAUCAUUUUGAAGCUCUGAAAUAAAAACUAAAUAUCGAUGAAUAAUGAACAACCUAUUAAUUAUCUCAAAUGUUUUUAGAGUGAUCUCCUUCUUUGAUGGCUAGUAUGAAUCAUAUGCCAUGUAAUUUGGUGCUGAUUGAAUUUUAUAUGUAUCUUUCCUAUAGCUUAUUUGCAUCUUUAUCUAUUUUCUUCUUGGAUUUUCAUUUUUGAUGAUUUUUGGGAGAGGGAAUUUGGCAAAUCCGGGCCAAGAUGGGGAUGGUAGAAGAGUUAGGGACUUCCUUGUAAGUAUUAUGAGGAUUUCAGACUGAUAUACCUGUUGAAGAACAACUUUGAUGCUAUGCUAUGAUGCAUGAUGGUAAGUGUGUACAAGGUGUGAAUUAAGUGUUUAGCAUCUGCGGUAAUAUCCAUAAGCUGCUAAACUUAAUUUUUUUUUUAGCAAUCUGCAGCAUCAAUGGGAAAAAGAGUUACCAUUUGAUUUCCAUAUUUCAAGAGAAAAAGAUAUUAGUUUUCUUUGAUGGUGCACUAUAAUUCAUCUGUAUGGUAUACUAUAAUUCAACUUGUGAGGAGAGCUGCAAAUUAGGUAGGAGAUAAGAAUUUAUUAUCUUUCUGUAUCAUAUCUUCUUGACUCUGCUUGUAACAAGAUCUAUAUAGCAGCAUUCUUACUUUGUGUUAUUAUUGAGAAGCUACCCAAUACUAUAUUUUAUUAGUAAACAAGCUCUUAUUGUUGCUAUGAGUAAAUUUGUGGAUGCAGUUAUAGGUGAGGAUAAAAUGACUGGAAAGGAAUGCAUCGAGGUACCAAUGUGAUUUUGUUAUUUGUAUAUAUUUUUGGGCUUUCAUCUUUUUUAAUGACUAAGUCAGUCAACUUCUGUUCUAGAUAACAUUUGCAUUAGAGCCCUGUGCAAUGCCGAUGUGAAAGAAGGUUUAAAAGGCAUUUGCAGUUGACAAUAAGGCUAAUUUUCAAAAAUCUAAAGUAAACAUGAUAUAAUUUAAUGAGAAAUCUCUAAUGCUGCUGCGAACUUUACCUUAUAAUCUACAUGUUGGGGAAAAAGAUCAUGGAUUCAUGUAUAAAUUUCACCAAACAUUUAUUCACUAUUAAAGGUGUUUCCAUAUUGAAGUAGCAUUUUUCCAAUAGAAGAUAUGUUGUUUCUUCUUUUGUAAAAUGCUUAUGUGACUUGCUACUGAAGGAUAAUAAGGCAUUUAUAACUAAGAAAAGUAAUCAUUGGGUUUUACACAAAAUCUAUGUAAUACUGUUACCACAACAUGGAUUAUGGGUAGUAGAAGAGCUCAGCAUAUAAGAACUCAGGUUCAUUUUUUUCUCAGUACUUUACAGGUUCUUUUUAAAUACUCUUUUUAAAUCUGGAGUUAGUAAUUUAUGAUUCAAUUUUCUUCUCUUUUCCCUGCUUUCUAUCUACAACUUUGUGACUAUUUAAUGGUCUUUUGUGUCAAUAAGCUUUUAGCAGAAGGGAAAGCCAAAUUUAUGGAAAUUUUUCAAUCCAUUUCUUUUCUUUUCCCCCUUUAUAUUUUUCAGCUAUAGCAUUUUAUGAAAUUGACAAUGCUCUUCAGGUUGAGUGUGGCUUAUGGUAGGUUGCUUCUCUUGGAGUCCUUGAAGCCGAAUUAGUUAGCAAGUAAAUUUUUUUCAAAUCUUCUUUUUUUUUCUCCAACGGAUAUUUUAUUUUUAUGAUGUCAAUUUGUAAGAAGUAUGGUAUUUUGCAAUGAACUAAGGUAUUCUUGAUGAAUAAGUUUUAGUUAUUCCAAAAAUAUUUCAUUAAUGAUGGAAACUUGAAUGUACAUCGAUCAAAUUAAAGCCACUUCAUAAGCGAUUGUAUGAAAGUUUUAUAUACUUUGUCAAUUUUGCUAAUCAUAUGAAUUUGAGGGAGAUCUUUUUAAGCUAUCCCUUGUGUUGGAUUUGUAUUUAGGAAGACAUUUUUCAUGGCGAGUUAUUGAAAUAUGCACACAUUUGAUUUGUUUCUUUACUCUGGUAUUGAUUUCAUCCGAUCCACUUUACCUUGUCCUAAAUUGAUGGCGUAGAAAUUUUAGUUAGAGAACUCAAAUUGUGGCUUGAUCCAGCGUAACAGGUUUUAUGUCAUUUUAAAUGUCUUUGUUCCAUCCAACUUUAUAAGCUCAAGCAUUUUCUUUAUAUUAUGUUGCUGCUGCUUCUAAUAAUGGACCCUAACUUUAUAAGCUCAAGCAUUUCCAUCCAACUUUAAAGAAUAAGAGUAUGUGAUAUUAUUUUUUCUUUUAUUAUUUAAAAGUGCUGGUGCUACAUGUCAAACGAUGAUUGGGGUAUGGUUUUACCUUUUUUGGAGACUAAUGUUUGAUGAGUGAGGUUAUUUAAUUUUGAGUUAUGACAAAGUGUACAUUCUAAUGAAAUUUUUUUCUCCAGUUGAUUAAUGGAUGUCUUUUUAACUCCGCCUAUAUUUAUAGUCGGUUUCAAGCUCGGGUAAAGGAGGAGGGUUGUGUUAGGUCAUCAACAGCCAAUGUAAAACUUUGUUGAAUCUAUCAUGAACAUGGACAAUAGACGGUAUAAUGUUAAUGCUAGGUCGUUGUCCGUAAGUAACGCGCUGCAUGGCUCGAGUACAGUGAUAAGUGAGUUAGAGCCGCUGCAUCGGCGCUCGGAUGUAGUGUUAAAUGAGCAAGGGUUACCGCGUCAUUCUGGAUGCAUGCGGUUAAAAAAGUUAGUCCAUGAGAGCAAAAUUAGAUUUGGUACUUGGAAUGUUGGGACAUUGAAUUGUAAAUCUGUAGAGGUUGUAGGGGUUAUGAUUCAAAAGAAAAUCAAUAUCCUUUGCUUGCAAGAAACAAAAUGGCGUGGAGAAGAAGCUAAGGAUAUUCAAAGUUUCAAACUUUGGUAUAUAGGAAAAGUAACUGCACGUAAUGGAGUAGGCAUCAUUAUUGAUAAGGAGUGGAAGAAGAACGUUGUAGAAGUUAGCAGAAUUAGAGACAGAAUUAUUUCCUUAAAAAUGAUAAUUGGACGUGAGACUGUUAAUAUUGUCAGCGCUUAUGCGCCGCAAGUCGGGACAGAAGCCAGUCUUAAGGAAUUAUUUUGGGAGGAUCUGGAGGGAUUGAUUCGACACUUAUCACAGAGUGAAAAGAUUUUUAUUGGAGGAGACUUUAAUGGGCAUGUCAGGAGGAAAGCUGGUCAGUAUACGAGGGUGCAUGGUGGUUUUGGUUUUGGAGAGCUAAACAAUGAAGGACAAACUUUUCUUGAUUUCUCAUUGGCGUAUGAUUUUAAGAUUGCCAAUACUUGUUUCAAGAAGAGAGAUGAACAUCUCAUCACUUACAAAAGUGGAGCAUCAAGGUAACAGAUUGAUUUUCUUUUGGUUAGGAACACAGAUAGAAGAUUUUGUAAAAAUUGCAAGGUGAUCCCCAGAGAUGCUGUAACGACACAACAUAGGGUCGUAGUCCUUGAUGUGUGUAUUAUGAGUAAAAUUCAAAAACAUCGACAAGUAGUAGCACUAAAGAUUAGGUGGUGGCAAUUAAAAGGUGAGAAGCAAGAUAUUUUCAAGCGAAAUCAUUUGGAUAAAGGAAUUUGAGAAUCUUAGGGAAAUGCUAACAUCAUGUGGGAGAAUAUGGUUAAAAAGAUACGGGAGGGUGCAAAAGUAGUUUUGGGAGAAUUAAAAAGUUCUGGUCCGAGAGAUAAGGAGUCUUGGUGGUGGAAUAAUAGUGUAUAGGACAAAAUCAAGUAUAAGAGGAACUGUUUUAAAGCUAUACAUUUGUGUAACAAUGAGGAAAAUUGGGAGAGGUACCGUAUGGCUAAGAAGGAAACUAAGAGAACUGUGGGUGAAGCUCGUUUUAAAGCUUUUAAAGAAUUUUAUAAGAGCCUUGAGACGAAGGAAGGAGAGCAAAAUAUUUAUAAGAUUGCCAAGAGUAGGGAAAGAAAAUCAAGAGAUCUAGAACAGGUAAGGUGUAUUAAGGAUGAAGAGGGAAGAACUUUAGUUACAGAUGAGGAAAUUAAAAAUAGAUGGGAGAUUUACUUUUCUAAACUUUUCAAUGAUGGAGAGGGUUCAUCUAGUAACUUGGAGGAUUUAGUAACUGGUGAAGGAGAAUAAAAUUUGUCAUUCUAUUGAAUAAUACGUGAUAAGGAGGUAAAGGAAGCUCUUAAGAAAAUGGCAAAUGGUAGAGCUAACGGACCUGAUUGUAUAUCUAUUGAAGCGUGGAAAUGUUUAGGUGAAGAAGGGGUGAGAUGGUUAACUAAGUUAUUUAAUAUGAUUUUACGGUCUAAAAAAAUGCUUGAUGAGUGGAGGAGAAGUAUAUUAAUUCCUAUUUAUAAAAAUAAAGGAGAUAUUCAGAAUUGUACUAACUAUAGAGGGAUUAAAUUCAUGAGCCACACAAUGAAAUUGUGGGAGAAAGUAAUUGAGCACAGGUUGAGAUUAGAGACAAGUAUUUCUGAGAAUCAGUUUGGUUGUAAAGAUAAAGAUCUACACAUGGUUUUUAUUGAUUUGGAAAAAGCUUAUGACCGUGUGCCAAGAGAAGUGCUUUGAAAAGCAUUAGAAAAAAAGGGAGUACGAAUUGCUUAUAUUAAAGCCAUACAAGAUAUGUAUGAGGGGAUAAAAACUAGUAUAAGAACGCCUAGUGGUCAAAUAAAGAAUUUUUCUAUAAAGAUUGGACUACAUCAAGGAUUAUCUCUGAGUCCUUAUUUGUUCAACUUGAUCUUAAAUGUUUUGACGGAACAUAUUCAAGGGGAAAUUUCGAAAUGUAUGCUCUUCGCGGUUGAUAUAGAUCUUAUAGCAGAGACAAGAGAAGAGGUUAAUUGCAAACUUGAAUUAUAGAGGAGGACAUUGGAGUCGAAAGGUUUUCGUCUGAGUAGAAGUAAGACGGAAUAUUUAUAUUGUAAAUUUGGUAAAGGACUAUUUGACAAUAAUUUGGAAGUGAAAUUGGGAGAUCAAAUUAUACCUUAAGUGAAAAAGUUUAGAUAUUUGGGAGCCAUUAUUCAAAACGAUGGCGAAAUCAGUGGAGAUAUUUCACAUAGAAUUCAAGUUGGAUGGUUUAAUUGGAGAAAAGCUAAAGAAGUUAUUUGCGACCGUAAGGUGCCUAAUAAACUUAAAAGAAAGUUUUAUUGCACUGCUAUUAGACCGGCAAUGUUAUAUAGUAGUGAAUGCUGGGCUCUAACGGGACAACAAGAGCAUAAAAUUGGAGCAGCAGAGAUGAGAAUGUUAUGAUGGAUGUGCGUACAUACACGUAAAGAUAAAAUUCGAAAUGAGCACGUACGCGAAAAAGUGAGGGUGGCACCUAUUGAGGAAAAAAUGGUAGAAAAUCGGUUGAGAUGGUUUGGGCAUGUACAAAGAAGACCAAGGGAGGCACCAGUGAGAAGAGUGGAACAUAUAACUUUGAGUCCGAUUAAGAGAGGUAGAGGAAGGUCUAAGAGAGCACUCUUAGAAGUUAUUGAACGCGAUCUUUUAAUUAAUAAUAUUCCUAAAAGCUUAAUAAAUGAUAGAGCACAAUGGCGUCUUGUAAUCCAUGUGGCCGACCCCACCUAGUGGGAUAAAGGCUUGUUGUUGUUGUUGCUGCUGCUGCUGUUGAUUAAUGGAUGUCUUUUUCUUCAUAAAUGAUAGUUCUUGCAUUAUUUGUUUAUUCUGUCUGAUUAACUGAAUCUAGUGCUGGUUAUAUUAUGUUUUUUUAUUUUGUCAAAAUGGAUCUUCUCUUUCUCCUUUUGUCAGGAUGCGCAUGAAUUGUUGAACUUUUACUUAAAUGAUCUGGUGGUCAUUUUGGAAGGUUCCAAAGAGAUCAAGAGACCUCGUCACCUUUUGAUCGUGGCUCAAAGAAUCAUGACUUAUGUAACACACACACACAUCUAUAUAUAGAUAUAUAUUAAGAUUUUGCUCAGUAGGGAUUGGAAAAGUGAGUCAAGUACAAAAUAAAUAUACUUGGUGUUUUCCUUGUGGAUUGGAUAUUUCAAAAUAUAUUAUUUUCAAACAUUGUUCUAGAA